rnacentral:lncRNA from 1 species
AGCGCGGAGGGCGCAGGACCAGGGCCAGGCCGGCGGGGCGGGGCCGGCCUGGAUCCGCCCCGCGCGUCACCGGCGUCGGCGCUGUCCGCGCCCGGUGCUGACCAAGAUGGCAGGCGGCGCCCGGGCCCCGGCGAGCGCGGAGCUGCCCCGGCCGCGCGGCCACUGAGCCAGAGCCAUGUCGCUGCUCUGCGUGGGAGGCAGCGCAGCCGGCGCAGGAGCCGGGACCGCUGGCACAGGUCGGGCCUCGAGGCCGCAGGACCCCAGGCGCACAUCUGGGUCGCCCUCGUAUGCUGCUGCCUGAGAGCGCAUCUCACAAAGGUCUCUCCUCCUCUCUGGGAGGCCGAGGCAGGAUUGUCACAAGUUCGAGCCCAUCCUGGACAAGUUAGUGACGUAAAGAGCGCUGGGCAUGUAGAGGUCAACGGACCUCCGAGCAAACACCCAGACGUGGGCCCUGUGUACGCGCUAAGGCCCAGCCCUUGGAACAGACGGGCGCGCACACAGCAGGCACUGGCCACGGACACGCGUGACAGCGUCGCUGCCGGUCACAGCGGCCUGUCCGUGUGCACACGCACGCACGCCUGCCCGGGUCACGCGCGCUCUCGCGUGCAGCCUGAGCCCAAAUGGGAGGUCGCCCUGGACAGGCCUCAACGCGCCCCGCUCUUCCCGGUACUGAGGUGGAACCCAGCCCCUUUGAACUGAGCUCAUCCCCAGCCUUUCCUACUUUUUAUUCUGAGACAGGGUCUCAGUAAGUUGCCCAGGCUGGGCUGGAAAUUUCGAUCCUCCCGCCUCAGCCUUCCAGAGAGCUGAGAUUCCCGGUGUGCAACACCAGGCCAGCCCCUCAGUGUGGUCGAGACUCCACACGUCCUGACGAGUGAGUUGCUCAGGGGACGCCUCACCAAGCCCUGUGCGCCCAGGCUGUCCUGCGCGGUGCUGGGGCUCUGCCCCUCCCCUCUCUGAUCCGCAGCAGCCCCAUUUUACAGAGGAGAAAACUGAGGGCCAGAGGUUUAGCAGCCUGCCCGGUAUCCCAGAGCCGGAGUGGCGCUGGCUGACGCCGUAGCGGCGCUGGCUGACGCCGUAGCCUGGCGGCCCAUCCCGGUGCCCGGCCCGGCUGUCCGCACUCCCCCACGGGGGCCAGCGAGGGCACCCCGGCUCCACUUCCUGCCAGGCCCAGCCGCGCCCUCGCCCGGUUGCCUGCCGGGGACCGGAGCCCUGCAGCGCGCUCGG